AAAAAGCGCCUCCGCUUCUGCCGACAAAAAAUGAUGCUUAGGGCGUCACAGGCAGUUUUCACGCCAUUUGCCGAUUUGAGCAUGGCGCGCUCGGUAGUUACUGCGGCCGCCGCGAAAGGCCGCCACUCGACCGCGAGCACGCGCGCACGU
rnacentral:lncRNA from 1 species